CACGUGGGUAACCUGCCCAUAAGACUGGGAUAACUCCGGGAAACCGGGGCUAAUACCGGAUAACAUUUUGAACUGCAUGGUUCGAAAUUGAAAGGCGGCUUCGGCUGUCACUUAUGGAUGGACCCGCGUCGCAUUAGCUAGUUGGUGAGGUAACGGCUCACCAAGGCAACGAUGCGUAGCCGACCUGAGAGGGUGAUCGGCCACACUGGGACUGAGACACGGCCCAGACUCCUACGGGAGGCAGCAGUAGGGAAUCUUCCGCAAUGGACGAAAGUCUGACGGAGCAACGCCGCGUGAGUGAUGAAGGCUUUCGGGUCGUAAAACUCUGUUGUUAGGGAAGAACAAGUGCUANUUGAAUAAGCUGGCACCUUGACGGUACCUAACCAGAAAGCCACGGCUAACUACGUGCCAGCAGCCGCGGUAAUACGUAGGUGGCAAGCGUUAUCCGGAAUUAUUGGGCGUAAAGCGCGCGCAGGUGGUUUCUUAAGUCUGAUGUGAAAGCCCACGGCUCAACCGUGGAGGGUCAUUGGAAACUGGGAGACUUGAGUGCAGAAGAGGAAAGUGGAAUUCCAUGUGUAGCGGUGAAAUGCGUAGAGAUAUGGAGGAACACCAGUGGCGAA
rnacentral:rRNA from 1 species